ensembl:lncRNA
AGAAGAGCAUUGGUGGUAUAAAUACCCAGCAUAAACAGGAUUAAAAGAGCAACUACUGACUCCAUCAGAGAAGUGUGAAGUGAGAGAGACAAGCAUAGAGAGAGAAUAAAGUGUAAGCAUCAGGAGCACUGUGUACUGCAGUGUGUCUCAACACGCUCGCUUUACUACAAUACUCAACUUGGGAGACAAGAAGCGUCACUUCUCUGAACUCUUUUACUGGAACGCCAUCCCAUCUCUCUCUCUCUCCAUCAGACACGCUCGUACACACAAAUGGAGAAUAUGUCUUGGUGCUGAAGUAUUGCUGAAGUUCAAACUGGGCCACUGGAUACAUCUAUUUUGGUCCACUCAGUGGCACCAGUCCCACUGGACACGCACCCACACACGGACAACAUCGCAGAGUUCAGGAUCCAUGGAAGAGGCACAGCUGGUGUGGGCCACAGUGGGGCCUGAGGGAUGAGAGAAAUCACCCAGCUAAGAUAUGUGCAAAUGGCUCCUCUGAAACACUGACUGCUCUCGCCAACUCAAGGGAGAAAAUGAGCGAUAGAGAGUGUCGGGGNAAAUACUGGUUUCAUUUUAGACUGACAAAUAUGCAUCUCAUUAAGUUUAUUAAACUAGUAGAGAUUGACAUGUAUAAAAAGGACACUUUUAUUCCCCUCACUAUAGCUGUCCACUGAAAUGGUGGAAAGAGAAUGCUCAAGCAUACCCACUUCUUUCCUCUCUUCCAAGGCUUACCUAACAGUUCCAGCAACUUCUGUUCCCAGUGAAAAUGUUUUUUUCUAUGACAGGGGAUAUUGUGAAUGCUCAAAGAUCUCAGCUUCUGCUUGAAAAAUGUAGGCAUGUGUUAUAAUUUUUUUUUUUUUUUUUUUUUUUUUUUGGCAACUGUAGGUAAUCUAAACAAACCCUAGUGUUUAUGUUGAAAUUACUUGAACAAAACACCAUUUUUAUUUUUUAUUUUUUUUUACUGCUUUUAGAAGUUCUGCCUUAGGCUUCUUAAUUCUAAGUUCAUGUUAAAUUUAACAUAAUUUUUUCAGUGACAGACAGACCUGUUCAGUUGUUAAUAUGAAUACAGAAGGUUUUUAUUAAACCUAGCAAUGUGAUCUUGUAUGUACAACAAAGAAAGACAUUGAAAUUUGUAAAUGUUUUUGAAAUAAAUCUGUUUAAAUUUUAGUUUCAUUUUUUAAAUGUUCAAAAUAUCAUGAUACGUAAGGUAUUGUAAACCCAGUAUCGAGAUACAUACCGUAUCGUGACCUGAGCAUAUCGUUACAACCCUAUGUAUAAUACAGUUAUUGAAUAAUUUAUUUUAUUCUAUAUUCAUUCAUACAUUCUCACUCUAUUCUAUCUAUCUAUCUAUCUAUCUAUCUAUCUAUCUAUCUAUCUAUCUAUCUAUCUAUUCUAUCUCUCUAUCUAUCUAUCUAUCUAUCUAUCUAUCUAUCUAUCUUUUCCUGGGCAAAAAUUCAGAAAAAGUUUUUCUUACAUUUACAUGUAUUCAUCCACUUUUAUCCAAAGGGACUUAGUGCCGUUUACACAAAACACACUUUUGCAUUUAAAAACACGAGAUAAAGGACAGUUGAAUGGAAAAAUACAGCACGACCUCAAAUGACCUUGACGUCUGUCUAGCAUGUUUACAUAGAAAAACGACAGAAAAGCAGGUGUAAUGCAAAACACGUUCUGUUAACAGCCUCUUGUAUCUUACAUCUGCAGUAUAUACCAUGGUAUAGACAUAGUACUGUUUUGUAACCCUGGUUACAGCGAGAACAGUGAGAUUGAGAGAGAGAAAGAAGGUAGGAACAAUUGGACUUGAAAGAUGACUGAUAAAUGAGCUCAUUUCCCAAACACACGCACAGAAUGCUGGGAUGUUAAAGCACCCCUCCCUCAGCGAUGCUGAAUUCCUUUUUCCAUUAUAAUGUCAUUUAGGGAGGAAUUAUGUAUCUUUCCAUCCUGAGUAUAAUAUGGCACUGUUGGGCUCAAGGAAUUAUUGUGCUGGAAUUAUCAAGGCUCUCUUAUAUAAGCAGAGACGUACAGCAAUCUUCAGAACUACAUGACAUAUGUUUUCAUAUAGAUGCAAUCCUGUAGACUUAGAGUUAAUUUCUGCAUUAAUUAGCAAAAAGCAGCUGUACUCUAUCAUGCUUUAUUUCAGUCAUGCAGGGUAUAGUGAAGGGUGAGUGGGUCUGUGUUCUUGCUAUCUCUCUUGUGCUAUCAGUGCAAUAUAUGUUCAUUGGCACUUACAGUAGCUGCUUCCUCCUGCUGCCGUUGGCCUGUAUCCUCUUCUGUUUCCCAGUCUGAAAGAUUAAGACACAGAAAUGAAUAAAAUAUUAACAAAUAUGUUUUCCCCUUAACAGUUUUUUUUUUAAAUCACAGAUUUCAGAUAUUGAUUCAUGCAUACAAA